GCGGGGGCUGCGCGGCCCGGGGCGCUGCGGGGCCGGCCCCGCUCCUGCGCUGCCGCGGCUCACGACUCUCGCGGGAAGAAGCCGGGCGCUGUUUCCGCCAGCAGGAAGGCUCCGCGGCGCCAGCCCUCCCGUUGCUGUAAGAAACGACCGGAUCCCGCCGCGGACGCAACCCCCGGAGCAGAAAGUUGUGGGCCUGCUCGCGGGCCUGAAGGCUGCAGACCCAUCGUCAGGCCUGGUACGAACCGGCUCCGGCUGCACUUCGCCCCUGCCUGCCACAGCCUCCAGCAGGUGCUGCAGCUGCCACGCCCUUCAGCUGCCUCACCAAGAGCUCCCACGCUCACUGCAGCCCUCGCUGAACUGCUCGAAGCCCCUGAAUAAUUCACUGUUGUUGAGAGAGACUGCAGGGCCAGCAAAUUUUGCCUCAAAUCCCAAGACACAGUCACCUUCUGGGCUACUGGUUGAGGAUGAUGGAGAACACUGUGCUGCCUAGGAAACACCUGAAACAGUAAGCUUGUGUUACUGUUUCUUGAUGCUCUUAAAAUUACAGAACAGGCAGUUUGACAGAAAAAACACAGUACUGGAGCGUGAACCGAGGACAUAAACUUACACUAACCUUCCAAAGUCUUAAUUCCUUCCUCAA